GUCUUACCGGAAUCAAUUUCAAUCCGAUCCGCUCUGAAGACAUCUCGGCCAUCCAGCUCAAUUGCGUUGUCGGUUUCCUAAUACUGCGGACUGGUGUCCAGGCGGCUGAGUUGAUCUGUGGUGUUGGCAGGUUCACAGGGGGCUUUUAAGCAAGCAAGCCUAUUUGUUUUAAGUGCUCCAGCUACCCCAAAGGUGACCCAUCCAACAUGACAAAAACACUCCCCUCCGCCACGGCCCUCGGCAGAUAACGACACCAGGAAAUCAAAUAAUGAGCCUCACACGGUUUUACCGCCACACAGAGAAAUAGUUGUUUUUACAUUUGAAAAAGGCCAAAUACUAAAAACAAAGCCUGUCGUCAUCAAUCUGGUUCUCCGCUAGCUAAUCUCCCACCUCGGAUUUUUAAUCCUGCGUCGAGCUAAUCAAGAAAGUGGGUGGAAGCAGGAAUGAACGACGAGGAUUUACUGUCGGUCUCCUGACCUGCCUGCCGUUUAAACAGCUCAGCCUGGGGCCGUGUCCCCAACGGCUCCCUGUCCCAUACAAAUAGUGCCCUCGUCACAUCCUAGCGUCACACAGGAUCCGAAGCAGCACCUUCUGAAGGGAGCAGGGUGUGAUUUGGGAGCGAGGAGGAGGUGGUGUCUGCAGGGUUGGCUGAGUGAUGAAGAAGGGCCUUACGCCGUGGGCUGGGUGUCGGUGCCGCUCGCCGUAUCUCCCCUCGCCACAUUUCAAGCCCGCCGCUGCCUCAUCACUGCACUGCCCCCUGACAGCCGGUGCAUCCCAAAUGACCCACUACUCCCUCUGUAGUGUGCUACAUUUGACCAGGCUUACCAGUAAGGCGGUGCUCCAUGUUGGUAAUGGGGUGCAGUUUGGGACCGAAGGCUGACAGUCAGCCAACAGCCAUCUGGGUAUUCCACAAUACCCAGAAAUCCCUCUUAAAUACAGGAUAGACUUGAUGAUGUAGAAUACAGUAGACACAGACUUGCACCAAUCAGCCCAAAUACAUAAGUGAGCGAAUGGAUCCCGUUCUGUUGUAAUUUUAUUUGUUUCACUCAAACAGAUCAGAAGGAGUGAGCCCUAGGAUCGGUCAGAGUGCCACAGAUGCUGAUUUUUAACUGCUUCAGGUAUGACAAGUGUCUUUUCUAAGAGAAGUGAAAGUAGUUGAGCAGAUUUUCUCCUGAGGGGGGUGUCUGUCUUUAACUGAAUGCUGUCUUUAACUGUCCUGGUGUCCUGUUUGACUUUAGGAGGACAUGAGCUCUUGGAUCAGGCCUCUAUAGUACCUGGCCCAAAUGACUCUCAGAAAUCCCUGCUGCUAAGUGCUUGUGGAUGUGUUGGGUAACAGGUUGCUGCACCACCUGUUCUUGUUCACCUGGUUUGGGUUUGGAUUCUGUUGGAGUCAGCUGAAAGGCCACCUGCCUUUGAGGUGUCUGUGUUCUGAUGAUUGCAAAACGUUGAUUUGGCUCAAAAAGUUAUUUUGUGUUGUCUUCAUCCAGCACAGCUAGAAAAGUGGCCACCCUACAGAGUCUGGUUCCUGUCUGUUUUUGCAAAUUUUGGUCCCUAUGAGGGAGUUUUUCCUAGCCACAGUGCAUUAACUGGUGUCACUUGCUCUUUUCAGGCUCACUGGAAGGCUGAAUGUUUGUCGUUUAAUUCGGCUUGCGGUGCCCUGAGGCUGCGGUGCCCUGAGGCUGAGGUGCCCUGAGGCUGAGUGAGAUUUUUGACAAACACAAUUUGCAGUGUGUCACGGCAAGACCUAUUACUGUAGCUUUACACAGUAUGGACGUGUUUUGUUCCACAGUUACAACAUGAGUAAUAACAAGGUUGCAGGUUUGAGAUGGUUGUUUAUGCCUGUGGAAAAAUAACUGGUUCGGUGUAGCCAUCUUUCUGAAAAGGUUGGGUUCAGAAUAAAGUUGGAAUUUUGUGUUGUAUUGCUGUUAUGUAUGGGCCAUUGAGGCUAUCGAAUCCUGUCAUGUUUAGAUUGUCAGGAGGGCUUUGAUGCAUUAAUCAGUCAAUUUAUAUGUCGUGAUAUUGCUUCUGUGUCCUUCCUAUGAAGUUAUUUCCACACUUUUCAAUGCCGUUGUCCAUUGAGAAAUCACUGGAGUAUAAUGUAGGUCUGUCAAGGAAGAUGUGUACUUUUGAAUUGCAGGGCAUGUGAGGAAAUAAAGUGUGAUGUGUUUGGAAGUCCCAAUGCAAAAGCAUCAUCAGCAGUCUUAUGACUGUCUAAGGGAUAAGUAAGUAAUGAGAACUGAGUGGGGGACACGUCAACAAAGAAUGUUGUUCUGUCUCUCAUCUGUCCUUUAAUGUGUUAGUGAGUAUUAGUAGGUGUUUAAAUGGGACUGUAAUGAUAGAACUUAUUAAUUUCUUCCUAAUGAGUGUGGUUGGGGGCUUGUAGUCUUGCUGUGGGUGGCUAUUUAGGUGUUAAAGAGACUCUGCACUAGUUACUUGCGGUAGGUGUCGGUGGACGGUUGUUAGAGUCUCUGACUGUGGUGUGGAAGGUUGUUGGUUCAAAUCAAAGUGGUUCUUGUGGGCUAUGUGUCGCUGGGGAUGAAGUCACGCAAUGACUUGGUGUGUUUGUGAGGUUGUAUGAGUGGUGGAUGGUGGUGAGGUUGUAUGGAUGGUGGAUGGUGGUGAGGUUGUAUGGAUGGUGGAUGGUGGUGAGGUUGUAUGGAUGGUGGAUGGUGGUGAGGUUGUAUGGAUGGUGGAUGGUGGUGAGGUUGUAUGAGUGGUGGAUGGUGGUGAGGUUGUAUGGGUGGUGGAUGGUGGUGAGGUUGUAUGGAUGGUGGAUGGUGGUGAGGUUGUAUGGAUGGUGGUGAGGUUGUAUGGGUGGUGGAUGGUGGUGAGGUUGUAUGGGUGGUGGAUGGUGGUGAGGUUGUAUGGGUGGUGGAUGGUGGUGAGGUUGUAUGGGUGGUGGAUGGUGGUGAGGUUGUAUGGAUGGUGGUGAGGUUGUAUGGAUGGUGGAUGGUGGUGAGGUUGUAUGGAUGGUGGAUGGUGGUGAGGUUGUAUGGAUGGUGGUGAGGUUGUAUGGAUGGUGGAUGGUGGUGAGGUUGUAUGGAUGGUGGUGAGGUUGUAUGGGUGGUGGUGAGGUUGUAUGGGUGGUGGUGAGGUUGUAUGGAUGGUGGUGAGGUUGUAUGGGUGGUGGUGAGGUUGUAUGGAUGGUGGAUGGUGGUGAGGUUGUAUGGGUGGUGGUGAGGUUGUAUGGGUGGUGGAUGGUGGUGAGGUUGUAUGGGUGGUGGAUGGUGGUGAGGUUGUAUGAGUGGUGGAUGGUGGUGAGGUUGUAUGGGUGGUGGAUGGUGGUGAGGUUGUAUGAGUGGUGGAUGGUGGUGAGGUUGUAUGAGUGGUGGAUGGUGGUGAGGUUGUAUGGAUGGUGGUGAGGUUGUAUGGAUGGUGGUGAGGUUGUAUGGGUGGUGGAUGGUGGUGAGGUUGUAUGGAUGGUGGAUGGUGGUGAGGUUGUAUGGGUGGUGGAUGGUGGUGAGGUUGUAUGAGUGGUGGAUGGUGGUGUCUGGGUGCUUGCGGUGGCUGGCUUUGCAACACAGGUCCUGGGUCCAAGCUGCUGAGAAGUGGUGAGCGGCACUGACACCCAGCCCACGGAGAAGACUGGGGGUAGCGCUUACUACUAACCACAUUGACAUGUCAGAACAAUACUUUAAAGAGUGAAAAGACUGUGGAAAUGCUUGGGGUUUAAGGAUACUUCAGGGUGAUAUAUUGAACACACAUUCAUCUUG
ensembl:lncRNA